AACUUAGCCUGUGCCUCCCAACUACUAAGCCCGCGCUCUGGAGACCAUGGCCUGCAACAACAGAAGCCACUGCAAGGAGGAGCCCGGGCACCACAACUAGAGAGGAGCUUCUGCUGCCCGCAAUUAGAGAAAGCCUGCCUGCAGCAGCCAAGACCCAGUGCAGCCAAAAAUAAAUGAACGGAAACCCCCUCAGGAUGCUUCCCUCCUGGGUCACCCAGUCUGGAUCUUGCCCUCCUUGGCUGGCAGUCAGGACCAGAACCAACGAGGAGACUGAGAAACCAGCCCUGCUCAAGGCACUGAACACAGAGUUCAGAGUCCGUUGGAAAGGUGGCUGAGCAUGAUCAGCAUGAACAGGCCUAAGGUGGAGUCCAGGCCCUAUGAAUACCUUCUUCAAGAAUACUGGAGUGAGGGUUCCUGUUCCUCCACACCCUGUCCAGCAUUUAUUGUUUAUAGAUUUUUUUUUUUGAUGAUGGCCAUUCUGAC
ensembl:lncRNA